GGAGGGACCAUGGCUGGAUGGUGGGGCAUCUGCUUGGGAUGCAGAAGGUCCCAGGUUCAAACCUGGCUCUCUCCA
rnacentral:tRNA from 1 species